UAAAAGGUGGAAGUUUUGUUUGACUGU
rnacentral:piRNA from 1 species